rnacentral:rRNA from 1 species
UACGAAGGGGGCUAGCGUUGCUCGGAAUCACUGGGCGUAAAGCGCACGUAGGCGGACUCUUAAGUCGGUGGUGAAAUCCUGGAGCUCAACUCCAGAACUGCCUUCGAUACUGGGAGUCUCGAGUCCGGGAGAGGUGAGUGGAACUGCGAGUGUAGAGGUGAAAUUCGUAGAUAUCGCAAGAACACCAGUGGCGAAGGCGGCUCACUGGCCCGGUACUGACGCUGAGGUGCGAAAGCGUGGGGAGCAAACAGG